AAAACACAACAGGGGAGCUGGUGUUUAGCCGGCUGAGAGUAGACUGGUAGUGUCUUGACCCAUAACCUGAUUUGGAUAAUGCCAACGUAGGAUAAUAUCGCACGAUUUUU
rnacentral:ncRNA from 1 species